ensembl:snRNA U6 U6 spliceosomal RNA
UUGCUUUAGAAGCACAUAUUCUAAAAUUAAAAUGAUACAGAGAAGAGUAGCAUGGCCUUUGCACAAUAAUGAUGCAAAUUCAUGAAGCGUUCUAUUAAAAA